ensembl:snRNA U6 U6 spliceosomal RNA
AUGCUCCCUUUUGUAGCACAUAUACUAAAAUUGGAACGGUACAGAGAAGAUUAGCAUGGCCCCUGUGCAAGGAUGACACCCAAAUUCGAAUUCUGUGACUUCCUCUC